rnacentral:rRNA from 1 species
ACGGGAGGCAGCAGUGGGGAAUAUUGCACAAUGGGCGCAAGCCUGAUGCAGCGACGCCGCGUGCGGGAUGACGGCCUUCGGGUUGUAAACCGCUUUCAGCAGGGAAGAAGCGCAAGUGACGGUACCUGCAGAAGAAGCGCCGGCUAACUACGUGCCAGCAGCCGCGGUAAUACGUAGGGCGCAAGCGUUGUCCGGAAUUAUUGGGCGUAAAGAGCUCGUAGGCGGUCUGUCGCGUCUGCUGUGAAAUCCUCAGGCUCAACCUGGGGCUUGCAGUGGGUACGGGCAGACUAGAGUGCGGUAGGGGUGACUGGAAUUCCUGGUGUAGCGGUGGAAUGCGCAGAUAUCAGGAGGAACACCGAUGGCGAAGGCAGGUCACUGGGCCGCAACUGACGCUGAGGAGCGAAAGCAUGGGGAGCGAACAGGAUUAGAUACCCUAGUAGUC